rnacentral:rRNA from 1 species
UUAGAUACCCUAUUAUUUUAAAUGGAAAGUAUAAUACCCGCCUACUAUUAGUUAUGUUCUUGAAAAUUAAAGAAGAUGGCGGUAUUUUAGUCUAUUCAGAGGAACCUGUCCUAUAAUUGAUGGUCCCCGAUUUUUAGUACUUAUUUUUUUAGUUUACAUAUCGCCGUAGAUUGAAAAUUCUUUCAGGAUAGGAACGUUCAAGAGGUUUUUUGACGUAAAAAUAAAUCAGGUCAAGAUGUAGCUUAUAAAUAAGAAGAGAUGGGUUACAAACAAAAAAUUUAUUAUGAAUUAAUAGAUGAAAUUUUAUUAUAAAGGUGGAUUUGAAGGUAAUUUUAUAAAAAUUUAUAAAAUGAUUUUAGCUCUAAGAUAUGUACACAUCGCCCGUCG